GUAAAAGGUUAUUUUUCUGUAACAUAAAAGAUUUAAAAAAAAUAGGCUUUAUCUUCACCUAAAGGAUUAACUCCUAUACAAGUUUUAUACAAUUCAUGAAGAUUUACAAAUUCAUCAGGAAAAAACAGUGUCAUUGACUGCAAAAAAAAAACCUAUAUAGAAAAAAGAAGAUGUUGUGUGAUAGCCAACAUAAGACAUUUCUCCACCACAUACCAAAUCAUGCAAAAGUUCAUAACUGUAUGUACGGUCUUCAACAGUGAGCAAAAACCAAACCAGAUAGUAAGCUAUGAAAUUUCCCGAAAUAACAAAUGUAAAAACAAAGAGAAACAUAACGUUCUAAAUGACUAAGACGCCGACA
rnacentral:lncRNA from 1 species